CCUACGGGUGGCAGCAGUGGGGAAUAUUGCACAAUGGGGGAAACCCUGAUGCAGCGACGCCGCGUGAGUGAAGAAGUAUUUCGGUAUGUAAAGCUCUAUCAGCAGGGAAGAAAAGGACGGUACCUGAGGAAGAAGCCCCGGCUAACUACGGGCCAGCAGCCGCGGUAAUACGUAGGGGGCAAGCGUUAUCCGGAUUUACUGGGGGGAAAGGGAGCGUAGACGGCAGCACAAGUCUGGAGUGAAAUGCCGGGGCUUAACCCCGGAACUGCUUGGGAAACUGUGCAGCUAGAGUGCAGGAGUGGUAAGUGGACUUCCUUGUGUAGCCGUGAAAUGCGUAGAUAUUAGGCGGAACACCAGUGGCGACGGCGGCUUACUGGACUGUAACUGACGUUGAGGCUCGACCGCGUGGGGAGCAAACAGGAUUAGAUACCCCUGUAGUC
rnacentral:rRNA from 1 species